rnacentral:rRNA from 1 species
GAUAAACGCUGGCGGCGCACAUAAGACAUGCAAGUCGAACGGACUUAACCAUUAGUUUACUAUUGGAGCGGUUAGUGGCGGACUGGUGAGUAACACGUAAGCAACCUGCCUAUCAGAGGGGAACAACAGUUAGAAAUGACUGCUAAUACCGCAUAUGCCUUAAUUAUCACAUGAUAAUAGAGGGAAAGGAGCAAUCCGCUGAUAGAUGGGCUUGCGUCUGAUUAGCUAGUUGGUGGGGUAACGGCCUACCGAAGGCGACGAUCAGUAGCCGGACUGAGAGGUUGAACGGCCACAUUGGGACUGAGAUACGGCCCAG